rnacentral:lncRNA from 1 species
UCUAGGAUAUAUUUUAUACUUGAUGGGCAAUCUUUAUAACCAAUCAUGUCAUUUGUGUCCAUGAUUUGUCCUAAAAAUUAACAAAGAUGAUUUUGUAUAUUCUCAAGAUGUUGAGAAUUUGAGACAUACAACAUUAAUGGUUAAUUUCUAAAUACUUUCGAUCGAAGGAUCAUCACGGAGGACAGUGAUCAAUCCAUUCAAGAUUGGUACAUGGAUCACCUCACUUUAUGGUAGA